ensembl:rRNA 5S_rRNA 5S ribosomal RNA
GUCUACGGCCAUACCACCCUGAACUUGCCCGAUCUCAUCUGAUCAGGGAAGCUAAGCAGGGUCAGGCCUGGUUAGUACUUGGAUGGGAGAAAACAGCCCUGCAGAGG